ensembl:lncRNA
CAACAGUUGGCCUCCAGGGCUGAUGGCUUAGAAGACAUAGGCAAAUUAUAAAAUAUAAGCAGAGAUUUCUCUCUAGCUUCUAUAGAAUCAAUAGUACUUUUCUAAAGUGGCAGAGAACAUUGUGCGUUGAUGAAGAUGAUGAGGAGGAAUGGAGGGGACCUGGCAAGAGAGCAAGGUGUGGAGAAGGCGAGGGGGCCCUUGAUGGCACUCCAAGAGAAGACGUGGUCACCAUCACCACAGGGCCUAGGAAAGGACGGUGCAACUCAAUGGGCGUCCAGCUGAUGCUCUUGGGCCCGCCCCCUGCAGCGCAGCUCUAGGUGUGCCCCAAGCAGAGUACUGGGUGGGCCUGCGGGACUCAACUAGCGCCCAACAGCAUUGACACCCGGGGAUGGGAAGCAAGCCUUGUGGGGGUGGGGGGGUCCCUACAGCCAGAUGGACUUCAGUCGAUCUGCCUCAGACAGCUGGGGAGCAGAGCCGGACCGCCUCACACCCCUCCCCCACCACUCCAGACAAGGAGGGGUGCGGCUGCAACUUCUAGGUUUUCUCUGCCACCGCGCCCAUCGAGAAGUGCCACCUGCUCCUAUCAGUACCAGAGCUGACCCUCAGGGCCUCCCACAGCAGACAGUUCCAGAUGUCCAGGCCGACUUCUGCCAGAGAGUGAGGACCAAAGGAUACCCAGACUCCUCCAAGAGGCAGACCCUAUGCUGUUGUCCUCCCACCCACAGCACAGAGUUUGCAGGUGACACAUUCCCAGUGGGUGCACCUCCCUGAGCUCCAGCCUUUCUGGGUGGAAGCUGGUGAAUCCCCCACACCCAUCCACCCAGAGAAGGAUGGAUUCCAUUGCCUCCCUGAGCAAUGGGGCCCAGGCCCACACACCAUGGAGGAAACACCAUCUGCCCCCAACCCUCAGCCCAGGCCUGGCAGACAACAUCAACCCUCACAGGGGGAGAGCCUCACUGCCCCCAGCCCCCUCUCCAGAAAGAAGCUCCUCUUCCAAGGACACUGGGGGCUGGGGGAGGACCUUCAGACACCCAGGUCCUCUUCUGCCACUGUGCCUCUGCCUGCCGGCUGUGGCCUCCUUCUUGCCAGCACUGCUUAAACAAAUGAACAAGAAUAAAAGCCUGUGUGGCCCAAGGAAAGCUUGAGGGGAAAGAACUGAAGCUGAAGGAAAAGGAAAAAAAAGAAAAACCUAACUAUAAGAAAUAGGAAGGAGGGAAAUUCAGGAAACAGACAAAAUAAACCAUCCAGGAAUCCAGAUGUAAAACAAAGAAGGCCAAAAGAAAAGAAAAAUUAUGCUAAGGAGGCAGACUGGGGUGGGGAGGGGAAUUGGGAAUAAAAAAGAAGAGGGAGACAGUUAUAAAUAUUCUGAAAAGAGAGAAGAAUGUGAAAGCAAACGACACCAGAAAAAAUAAAAAAUAAAGAGAGACCCAGGAGAGAAAAGGAGGCAACAAUGAAUUUAAAACAACUCUGUUGACCCUCAACCAGCCACACUCAGUUAUGCUCUGAGUCUUAUUGCUUUUUGUAGAUUUCAGAACACUGAGCCAGCACAGUUGUAGAAAAGCAAGCUUUCCUUCUUGCCCUUCUUUUCCCUACAGUUCUCCCAAUUCACCUCCACUGUUGGUCUUUUGCAGAGUGAGGGCUGAUCUUCCUGGGACAAGGCUGGAAACCAUUCCAGUUCACCCCUGAGUCUGGUGGCUUCCAACAUGGUGCCCUCUGGAGGGCUCACUGGAGAAUCUGAGCCAGAGGAGCCCUGUGGCAGGAGAAGCUUUGGGUGUGAUGGAACUGUGUUAUCAGCUUUGCAUCUUCCAGGGUGAGGCUUACCUAGCCACCUUUCUGUGGACCAGGGCUAACCCAACCCACAGACACACCACUCCUGGAACAGCAAGGGUUCGUGGAAGAUUGGCAUACCCAACUCUAUGCAAAGCCAGAGGGGUCCCAGCAAAUGCAACUUUCAGAAACAGAUGAUUUAAAUUAAUUUCCAGGCAUUCCCAAGGGAAGCUAAAGAUAGCCACAGCUUUCCCAUUGCCACGGUUGGCAAACAGCUUCUUGAAGUUCACCUUCAAUGUUUUUGUGUCCAUAAACCCCAUGAGCACUUACAGAAGAUGCUGGUUCCACUCCUUCUGUCUUCUUGGCCUCUUUUCAGCCUUCUAUGGACUCUUUCUUCUGAGAGUCUGCCAAUGCCUCUCUUCUCUGUGUCUGCUUUGGUUUUUCCAUUUCCCUUACUUAAUCAUACCCACCUCUGCCCACUCUUUCUUCUAUUUCUCUAGGGCAGCAAGAGUUGCAAGAAAGUGAAGCAAACCAAGGCAAAAUUGAGAAGCAACAGAAGUAAAAAUGCAAGUGUGUUUGCCUUAGCGCUUGGCUUUGGCGUGCCCCGGCUGUCUGCAGUAGGUGAGGCUGGCUCCCAGGGGACAGGGGUCUGAGCCUCACCAGGCCGCCUAAAACUGCUCCUCCAAAGUUCAGCCAAGGGGAAGCCACACAGGCUGAACUCUGAUCAACUGGGACAAAGAAAAUGGUGCCCAUACCAGCCCUUCUCCUUCUGAGAAUUCUUUUUCUUUUUUUGAGGAAGAUUAGUCCUGAGCUAACUACUGCCAGUCCUCCUAUUUUUUACUGAGGAAGCCUGGCCCUGAGCUAACAUUGUGCCCAUCUUCCUCUACUUUAUACGUGGGACGCCUACCACAGCAUGGCGUGCCAAGCGGUGCCAUGUCCACACCCAGGAUCCGAACGGGCGAACCCCAAGCCGCUGAGAAGCGGAACGUAUGAACUUAACCACUGCGCCACUGGGCCAGCCCCCUACUUCUGAGAAUUCUUAAGUACUUGACCCUGAUUCUGUACAUUCCAAAAGUCAUAUUUUUCUUCUAGCAAAAACUGAGAGAUGUGACAAAAUGUAUAGAAGGGAUAAUGUCUAGGUUGUGGCCUUAGAUACUCAACCCAGUUUCUUCUCAUCCUUCUUAACCUUCAAACCUGUCACAGUCGUAUAAUCUAUGACUCAAAACUAUUAUUUAACUAUGAAAAAAGACAAACCAGGAAAUUAGAGGCUGAAUGACCUAAAAUUUAUUCCAUUCAACUGAGCUAAUCCCCUAAUAAGGGUGUGUAUAACAAUCAGUCUUGCUACAGCUCUUCUGGAAGAUGUGAACGUUGCGGGGAACAUACACAGUGCCUGCAGAUCCCAACUUGUCAAGAUUUGUCCUCAAAAGGGUAAGUGCCUGGUCCUAGGCCAAGCUGCCUAGCAGUUUGUUAGAUGAGUCUUAACAUUUGGGAACCAACAUGUUGCAAUGGAGAGUGCCUGAUGCUCAGGCUGACCACAUUGAUAUCUGGCACUGCCACUUCCUAGGCAAGCAAGGGACUUACCUGCCCUCCCCUAGUCUCCUCUGCUGUGAAAUGGCAAUGACAGCGAUACCCAUCUCCUGGGGCUGCCGCGAGGACAGAUGAGCAAAGCGCUUGGCACGUGUGAGCAUCCCUAGUCAACUGUUGCUGUAUGUUAAGCUGCGAAUUGGCAAGACCGAGAAGAAGGCUGGAGGCCCCACAAAGUGGGGUUCCACGGAGUCACUGGAACACAGUCAAGUAUCCUGAGCAAGAGAGAGAAGAGGGUCCCAGAGGAGGCCCAGGCAGCUGGCGGGUGGAGCGCUGCUCCGACAGCCAAGGACAGCCAGUCACAGCCGGGUGUCCUCCGGGGUGGGAGGACGCAGGGGGCUGCACUGCAGUCCUCCCGCAUUAGCUCAACGCCGCUGCAUCCCCACCCUUGCAUGUGUUCAUCCUGACAUGAAACCCAGCACGCAGUGACCUCACCCCCACUAUGUGCAGCCGCUGGCCAAGCAGAGAGCUGUACCAGAGUGAGCUUCAGAAGUGCUCAUUGGCCUCAGAGAUUUCAUAACUGGGCGUUUCUGCCCAAAUGCAGAAAUCUGUCUUUGAACUAGAGUUUAAGGAUGUGACCAAAUGCUGAGAAAUUCUUAUUUCAGGGCUGAUUUUUUUUUCUGUAAGUAGAAAGGCAAAGAGUUCAAAAUAUAUUCUGGAAAUGUGAACAGCAACUGAAUCUUGGUAAUAUUUAGGGAGUAUUAUUAAUUUUUAGGUGAAAUAAGGACAGUGUGGCUAAGUUGAAUGAGUCCAUUUUUUUUAGAGCUACAUACUGAAAUACCAACAGAUGAAAUGAUAUGAUCCAAUAUAUAGGAUUUACUUCAAAAUUAUAUGGGAGGUGGGGAGGCAGCUGGUGCUGUAAAUGAACAAGCUUGGCCAGGAGUUGGUGAUGUUGGUGAUGGGAGUUCCUCAUACUCUCUGUCUUCUUCUGUACACGCUUGAUGUUUUCCAUAAAAAAAUGUUUUAAGUUCAUAAAAGCUGAAAAAAAUUUAA